ACCCGUGUGAACAUGGGGAGAACAUACAAAAUGUAUGAAGACAGCAUGCCAGGAACUGAACCCAGGACCCCAGCGCUAUGAGGCAGCAUAAACGGAUAAAUGUGAUAAUAACUAACCUCUACUUGAGAUUAAUUUCAAGUGAGCAACAAACAGAUGACUCCGAACUUGAAGUUAUUGCUGAUGACGUGCUCAUCAAAGGUGACGACGAGACGUGAGGCCUGUGCCGGAGAACAGAGGGUUAAUUAGGGAGCAUCAGGCUGAGCUGUGGAUUUCUAGGUCUCUCUAAGCCAUCAGUAGCUGAAGACCUUAGACGUGAUAAGAAUGACCUCAGUUAGGUAAAAAUGGAAUAAAAGACCUAUGAAGUGAUCCACUCCAGGCCUUGGGUUGCGCACCACUGAUGGAAAUUGAUGUUGAGUGAGUGCUUUAGGAGCACGGCUCACAGCGAGAUAACAGAA